rnacentral:lncRNA from 1 species
AGAUACUAUUUUAAGUUCGUACGAUCUUUAAUCGGACGGAUCAAAAUUGGUCAAUAUUUCAAACCAGUGCAUUAAAUGUCCUUCACUUGUCCCUAUUGCUUUCUGAAAAAAAAAAAAUAGUUCACGCGUUUUCUCUACCCCAAAGCAUUGAUCAGUCCCUUUUCAUUACCCAAAAACCAACGUAAAAUCAAAGACUUUUCUUUUCUCUGUUUUCUCCUUCCUCUCAUCUUUCCCAAAUUAGUGCAAUAAAUUAUUUUUGGUUUCAAAUCCGUAUUAAAAGCCCAAGAAUCGUCCAAAUUCGAUGAGGGAUUUGUCCCUUUCAAUAUUUUGAAUUCCGAUUUUCCCCUCCAAUUUGCCCGUUGGCUUCUUUAAAUUUUUAAUUUCAAAUUCAGACUUUUAAAUCCAAAGUUGUCUAUAAAUACCUACGUUUUUGCCUAUUUCAGGGCAGAUUUUUGAAUAAGUGAAAAGGGGAGUAAAAGGGAGAAAAACAGAGGCCAG